UACGUAGGGAGCAAGCGUUGUCCGGAAUCAUUGGGCGUAAAGCGCGCGUAGGUGGCCUCGUAAGUCCGCUGUGAAAGUCAAAGGCUCAACCUUUGAAAGCCGGUGGAUACUGCAGGGCUAGAGUCCGGAAGAGGCGAGUGGAAUUCCUGGUGUAGCGGUGAAAUGCGCAGAUAUCAGGAGGAACACCGAUGGCGAAGGCAGGUCUCUGGGCCAUAACUGACGCUGAGAAGCGAAAGCAUGGGGAGCGAACAGG
rnacentral:rRNA from 1 species